rnacentral:misc_RNA from 1 species
UGGCCUUCUAGAGAAGAAAAGCAACCAUAGGGACAAAACCUUAUUAGCAUUUGUUGCCAAUCCUGAAAGCUAUAACACAAGAAUCUACUACCAUUUACAUAUCACAGUCCUAACCAGUAGCAAACAACUUCCUAAUGGUAAAGCAAACAAGAAUGGGAAAACUACAGAUGAUUUUUCAAAAAACAAUAUUUGCUACUGGAAAGAACGACGACCGGCACUCUAAAUAUUGAAUCCAAUGACAAAGCAACAUGGUUCAAUGAGCCAAAACCUAGACAUCAUGACUUUCCUCUCCCCGUGGCUCCUUCCCGUUGACUCCGGAAAUGACUGAGAAGUUGUUGUGCCUUCUCCUUUGCUCUUGGGGAACCCGACUGUGACAAAGCAACAAGUGGUGGGACAGCACCUUCUUGCAACACUAAUCGACAAUACUUGGGACUGUUGAGACACAAUUGCAGCAGUAUUGAGGCGGCAUUUUCCUUUCCCCGCUGAGAUCCGGUUUCAACAAUCUCGACUAGUGAUGGUAUACCCUCCUCUCGGGCAAUAGCUAAGCAGCCCUCUGAAAUGGUAGACAAAUUUGCAAGAAGAGCAACA